UUCGUAGAUUUCUGAUGAGAAGAGUGAGACUGAGGGUGAGAGUGAAAAACUGAUAUUGCUGUUCCUUUGGGGGCAGUGAUUGAAGUGUGAGAGGGAGUCGUGCGGAGACCAAGGGGGAGGUAGAGAGUGAAGUGGAGGUGAGAGUGAACUGGAGGUGAGAGAGAGUGAACUGGAGGUGAGANNAUGUGGAGUGGAGGUGANNGANAGUGAACUGGAGGUGAGAGAGAGUGAAUUGGAGGUGAGAAAAGGUGAACUGGAGGUAAAGGAGAGUGAACUGGAGGUGAGAGAAAGUGAACUGGAGGUGAGAAGAGGUGAACUGGAGGUGAGAGAAGGUGAACUGGAGGUGAGAGNNNGUGAACUGGAGGUNANNGANNGUGAACUGGANGUGAGAGAGAGUGANCUGGAGGUGAGAAAAANUNNNNNNNNNNNGUUUGUGUUUGUUUGUGCGUGUGUGUGUGUGCUGUAUGCCUGUGUUUGUGUCCGUAUGCCUGUGUUUGUGUUUGUGCGUAGUGCGGUUUUGUGUUUUGUAUGGCCGAGGGUCGUGUAUUGCCAAAACCUAUUAAAAAGGCCUUCAUUUUGCCCUCUAUAUGAUUUCUCUGGUCGUUAAAAUACCCCCCAGUUGAUACGGUUUGAAAUUCUUAGAUUGUGAUUUUUGGGAGGGGUUUCAAUGUUGCACAGUUUCAAUGCUGCGCGAGAAAUGAAUAUACAAGAAGAAAUUGUGACAGAGUGAGAACUGGUGAAGUGGGAAAUGAAAGGAAAAAUUUUGAAUGGACCCACAGGGACAUAAUAAUUCAAUACACGGCUCUUUUGGUUCAAUGCUUUUGUUUUAAAUGUCUUUUUUCGGGCCAUUUUGAUUGACGCUUAGUGGUGGUCAGUAGCGCGCGCACUCCGAAAAAUAUGCGGAUUUUACGCAACUUUUGUUAGACUUUUUCAAAAAGAAUAUUUUUGCAGCAGGCAAACUGCGCGGGUGCAGCAUUUUGCGACCGGAGGUACUAUAUGAGAGAGAAAUCUCUUAGGAAUAGUGCGUAUGAAAUUCAUACNNCCAUUCCGAUGAAGUGAAUUUAUAUCAACUUUUGGAGGUAUAUCUUUUAGUUGUAUAAAGUCUACUUCUUGGCCCUGCGAUUUAUCGCUCAAGUCUCGGGCUGACAACGUCUCCCCGAGCAAGGUGAAACAGUGGAUUACUAGGCAAUGCCAAGUCCACCAAAACCCAGAUCAUUAGAUCUUUUUGCUACGAGUCAGUGGACAAUCCAGUCUUAAUAACUUCUUAUUAGUUAUCUGGUUG
rnacentral:misc_RNA from 1 species